GCUUUGUCUUGCCAGCUACCAACGCUGCCCAGCAAGCCUCCGGAGGGGGCUUCCAGAGCGACCCUGUCCGCCACCUGUCCACCUACCUAUGCCUGUCUCUGGUGGUGGCACAAUUUGUGCUGUCCUGCCUGGCGGAUCAACCCCCCUUCUUCCCUGAAGACCCCCAGCAGUCUCCAUUCAGCAAAAAGUGCAUUGCAUUUCUACUCGACGCCACAGUUGGCAGACUUUUUCUAUAUGGG